GAUGAACGCUAGCGAUAGGCUUAACACAUGCAAGUCGAGGGGCAGCAUGAACAAAGCUUGCUUUGUUUGAUGGCGACCGGCGCACGGGUGCGUAACACGUAUGCAACUUACCCAUAAAGCGAGGAUAACCCGGAGAAAUUCGGAUUAAUACUCGAUGGUAUUAUUGGGAGGCAUCUUCUAAUAAUUAAAGAUUUAUCGAUUAUGGAUAGGCAUGCGCAUGAUUAGCUAGUUGGUGAGGUAACGGCUCACCAAGGCGACGAUCAUUAGGGGUUCUGAGAGGAAGGUCCCCCACACUGGUACUGAGACACGGACCAGACUCCUACGGGAGGCAGCAGUGAGGAAUAUUGGUCAAUGGACGAGAGUUUGAACCAGCCAAGUCGCGUGAAGGAAGACUGCCCUAAGGGUUGUAAACUUCUUUUGUGUGGGAAUAAAAAGAGGGACGUGUCCCUCAUUGUAUGUACCAUACGAAUAAGGAUCGGCUAACUCCGUGCCAGCCGCCGCCGUAAUAC
rnacentral:rRNA from 1 species